GACGUAGGGCGCGAGCGUUGUCCGGAUUUAUUGGGCGUAAAGAGCUCGUAGGCGGCUUGUCGCGUCGUCCGUGAAAACCUGCGGCUCAACUGCAGGCUGGCGGUCGAUACGGGCAGGCUCGAGUUCGGUAGGGGAGACUGGAAUUCCUGGUGUAGCGGUGAAAUGCGCAGAUAUCAGGAGGAACACCGAUGGCGAAGGCAGGUCUCUGGGCCGAUACUGACGCUGAGGAGCGAAAGCGUGGGGAGCGAACAGG
rnacentral:rRNA from 1 species